CGGCCCGGCCCGGCGUCCACCGCACCUUUCUUGAUGCAUUUGUAGAGCUUCCGCGUGAGGCGGCGAGAAGCCAGAGGCUGCGCGAUGGGGUUCAGAUUCACUAGCAGUUCAUGAGAUUGAGGGCUCCUGCAGAGGGCAAGAGGCACUCCAGGAACAUCGUGGAUCACUGCCUGUCACACCCUCCCAGGACCCUGAGCCCCAAAACAGCCCAGCCUGGGGACCCUAGCCUGCCCAGUCUUCAGAGAUGUGAUACCAGCCAAGUGCCAUCCUGCCUCCCACUGCUUAACAAGAUCCUUGAGCUUGAUGGGCCCAGAAAAAUCUCAUCCUCUUCCCUGGGCCUCUUUGGAAUCAACACUGGCAUGCCUGCCAGACUUCGUGCCAUGGAAUGAGCUCUGGUCCUUAAAUAGCUGAUCCCAACUGGGAUUCCAGCUGCAAUUUACAGAUCAUUUAGGCAACUGUGGGAAAACAGGAGAAUGGACAGUAUGUCUGAGAAGCUUCCUCUGCUGGUGGCUGAAGGGGACUCAGAUUUGAACCUGGCACCUGAAGAUGGAGGAGGCCACCUUGAAGGAACAAAGAGUAGUCGCAAGGAGCUGAGACGGGAUCCCUGGCCAACAGAAAAUGAGGAUCCCAGCCCUACAACCACAGGAACUGAAAUCUGCCAACAGCAGUAAUGAACUAGGAAGAGGAUCCCAAAUGCCAGAGGAGAUCACAACAGUUGGAAACUUUGAUUUUACCCUUGUAAGCACUGCUCAAAGAACCUAAUCAUGCCAUCCUGGACUUCUAACCUGCAGACCUGGGAGAGAAUAAAAGGAUAUUGUUUUAAGACACUUAAGUGGUCAUGAAGUGAAAGUUGCUCAGUCGUGUCCAACUCUUUGUGACCCCAUGGACUAUACAGUCU